GAUUGCGCACAAAAAAAAAAAAUUGGGAAUUUCUUUGUGGAACACCUACCUCAGGAUGCUCUGAAAUUUUCAAUUAUUCAUUAGAAGCUUUCAAAUCCAAAUUUGGUGGACAAAGCAGCUAACUCUCUCUAACUUUCAUUGCAAACCCACCAUACUUACCAUAAUAAGACAACCUAACACGCAAACCACACGUUGUCUACGCAAUCCCAAUUGGCUGAUCUGCCCCAUCUUUCUUCCUCAAAUCUUUCACUUCUCUCUUCAAUUCAAGAAAAAAAAAAUUCCCACCAAGGGAAUAUUCUUUCUAUUUCCAUUGUUCUUGAUGAAUUUUAAUGAUACAAGGCAAUCAAGGGGAAGCAUGUGUAGCAGUGAUGGCCCUGGUGGUGGUGUUCAAGGAAGAAAGAGCAGAAAAAGGGGUUCAUUCAAAGCAUGUUGCCACUGCCCCUGUGUUAGAGUGACAGCCUCAGCAUUCAGAGGCCUAGGGAGAUGCUUGUUUGUGAGUUGUUACCCUGUCAUGCAAUGUUUUGGCUGGGAUGACUGUAGACACCACCACCAUCACCACAGGCAUUUCCAUUGAUUCCCCACUCUUUUCUUCUUUUCUUUGAAUUGUAUGCAAGGAUCAGAAUUGUGAUUUGGUCCUGUCUCAGCAGAAGAAAAAUAACUUGUAUGGUGCUUCCACAGGAUCAAAAAUAGCCUAGUUUUGUCAGGUUUUAAGAUGAACAUAUACAAUUUUCUUUCUUUUUUGGGGGGUUCUUUUGUGCUCCUUUUUCCUAAGGGAGAAAAAAAAGAGGAGGAAAAGAACAAAAGGAAUCCAAUCACUUGGGUUUGAAUGAAUCCAAAAAAUUUGAAGGUUUCGUCAAUGCUUAGUAUAGGAAUCUGCAUUUGGCUGAUGUGUUAUCUUAUCAUUAUCUGCUACUUUUUCCAUUGAUUUAAAA